rnacentral:sRNA from 2 species
AAAUGUUACAGCACAUUCCCGAGAGGAUUCAUUUUAUGUGAAGCUGCCUUGUAACCAAAUUUUUGAAUGGGGGAAUUUUUGUG